AAGAAAAACGCUUCGGCGUUUUUCGUCUCCGGACUUUAGCGACGGCGCUAUUUUAGCCGCGCUUUGUAUCGUACCUC
rnacentral:sRNA from 1 species